GCAGUAGCCACGGUAAUACGUAGGGUGCAAGCGUUAAUCGGAAUUACUGGGCGUAAAGCGUGCGCAGGCGGUUUGUUAAGACAGAUGUGAAAUCCCCGGGCUCAACCUGGGAACUGCAUUUGUGACUGGCAAGCUAGAGUCUGGCAGAGGGGGGUGGAAUUCCGCGUGUAGCAGUGAAAUGCGUAGAUAUGCGGAGGAACACCGAUGGCGAAGGCAGCCCCCUGGGCCAACACUGACGCUCAUGCACGAAAGCGUGGGGAGCAAACAGGAUUAGAUACCCCUGUAGUCCCUGUCUCUUAUAA
rnacentral:rRNA from 1 species